UGACCUCGAAUCAGGUAGGAAUACCCGCUGAACUUAAGCAUAUCAAUAA
rnacentral:rRNA from 3 species